UGUGUUCUUGAUUCGUCGUAGAUGUGUGAUCGUAUUAAUGUCUUAGUUUAUAAACCCAAUUCGUUGUUCGUUUCGUGUUUGCGUUUCCGCUUGAAGGAUGUCAGCUUCUCUUGUUUCUCGUGCGACGUAAGGCGGUGACGAUGAAGAUCACAGUAAAGAUAACACGUCUUAAUUGUUGUAACAGAUUAGCUAAUUUAUUCUACUCAGUGAUUCCAAAUACAGAUUAUAUGCGUCUGAUUACACACUACACAAAACCCGCGGCUGAGAAAGUCUGAAACUAUCACUGCCGUGCGGCGACAUAUGUAUUUACUCCAGCCUGAAAAGCUCUCUCUCGUGCGACGUACGCAUUUGCUUUCUUGAUCGCGUGGCGACCUGUCACGCGCGACGAGUUAUUCCAGAACCUUCUACGGAAAUAUCGUCACGCACGACGAGUGACCUUCUCGAACCAUCUACGAAAAUGACGCUGUGCUUGCGGGCCCGAAAACCCGCGUAGCACGGCUACACACGCCCCCUACCAGAAAAUGUUUCUCGACUCAAUUGUCAAAAACAGGCGUCUCAAAAUUUCCCCGUACUAUUUGUACAAUUAUGCCGCGUAUGCCGUUGCGCAUAGCGUUUCGCGCUUACAACUAGUUUCAACUACUACUACUACUAUGUGAAUACGUGCACUAUGAUCGCGAUAUGUGACCUAAAACUUUCCUUAACUAAGGUACCCUUAACAAACUUCACUAACGCGCGUGUAAACAUUAAAUUCAAACCAACACGUUGAUAAACACAGCUAAUGAUACUCGUAAGGGCCUUACUCGAAUUCAAACGUAGGCCUGCAUGCGUGUACGACACUACACUAUGUGCUCAGCGCUAAUCUUACGCGUAGUGCUAAUUCGAGCCGCCACGAGAAAGGCUGAAUUAUAGGGAAAAGGCACGGACAUAAUAUGAAGGAGAUACAAAGGAUCUCUCAGCGUCUCGUCCAUGCGUCUCCCAGUAAACGUGUGAGCCAAUUCAUCCGGGUCGUAUCUCUUCUUGAUUCGGCAGGCUCUUGUACAAUGACAAUGGGCACCAUUAGAUGCGCCCUUCUUGGAGCCGUCGUUAUGACAUCGACUUCCACUAUCGUAUCGCUAGGCUCGCUCACGUUGCCUUCAUGCGCAGUUAAUCUUUUACUGCCUGUGUCGGGGAACUUGAUUCCUCGCUUGCUUUUCGUCUUCUGGCCGAGUGCUCACUGCCGGUAUCCUCUUCUAAAUCUGAUUCCACAUUAAAGCUAGUGGAUUCGUUUUCCGACUCCGAUGGGUUGUAGAUGAUCGUCUCAUCAUCACUUUCGCCAAGUUGCUGAGUGGUGUUAGGCUCCUGACCCUCAAUGUCCCUUGCAGAUGAAUCCUUCGCGAUUGGAUCAACUGCACGAGACAUUGGCGGCUGCGGUUGCUCCGUAGAAUCCGCUGAAGCCUGUGCCUUGGGCGUUGUGAUGAAAUGACUUAGGGGAAGUUCGUCUUUCUCAUCGAACUCAUCAUUACCACUACCCUCCUCGUCAGGUGGAUAUGCCAAUGUCGCUGCCGACGUCCUCUCUCUGGCACAUCUUCUUGCUGUGUCGGCUUGCUGCAGUCCCACCUAGCUUGUGGGUGCGCUGCCCGAAUGUUUUCCACGUACGAGAUCACUUCUCGCGUCGUAAUCUCGUGUUGGAUCAGGUAUUUUUUCGGCGUCAAUACCUGAAUCACCGUGUAGUACGGCUGCCAGGGCGACCCAGGUUUCCUUAUAGUGUUAGGCUUUAACACUGGAUCAUGGUAGUAUACCGGAUCUCCUACUUCGAAGUCUAAUAGGUGUUGUUCGAAGGUUUGGCUGAAAAUGAUUAUGUUAUCUAUGUAUUGAAUGGCACACCUGUGAUGUAAUCCAUUUAAUACGGUAUCUAAUAAUCUUUGAUAAACGCUAGGCGCGUUUGAUAAGCCAAAUGAAAGGACAUAUCUUCUGGAAUGCACCUCUGCAGGUGAUAAAACAAAUCUUGGCUUUGUCCUCCUCUGCCAUUGCUAUUUGGAAGUAGCCCGACUUUAGGUCAAGAGUUGAAUAAAAACGUGAGUUUCCUAACGAUCCAAGGAUAUCUUGUAUAUACAGGGUAAUUGAUAAUAUGUGUCCUUCUUUGUGACCUUGUUAAGCUACCUGUAGUCUAUGACCAUUCGUCAUUCAGGUUCAUCUUUCUUGUGAACGAUGAAGGUUGGACUUGCCCACGCGCUAUUGCUGGGUUCUAUUAUCUUGGCUUCUUAUAGCUGAUUCACAUGAUGAUCAAUCAUAGGUCGAUAAUUAAUCGGUGUUCAAUAUGGCGUGUCGUAUAGGUGGGUGUCCUUCGGUGUCUAUUGUCAUCGUUACUAAGUUGGUACGUCCUAGGUCAAGACUGCUUUCAGCAAACAAGUCGCUGUUUUGCAUUAAUAGCUCCUCUAGAGCUCCACGCUGAUGUACUGGUACGUGAUCAAGGUUGACCUUGGGUAGAGUAGGCGUUGAUAAAUUUUCUUUAUGUUUAUUGCUUGUCACAUAGUGUGCACCUGCAUGUUUAGAUGCCUUUUCUAUCUUGACGAAUGCUAUCUGUUUUUCAUUAACUGAUUGGACCAAGGCGAUGACACUAUUAUUGUCAAACGAAUAUAUUGUGUCUGUAGUAUUGACCAUCGGAAACUUGAUACAAUGAGCCUUGUUAACAAUGACUAAUGUUUCUACAGGGAAUAUACCUGGCUGAUCUCGCAGUGCAGGUAACACAUCUGUUCCUGUAAUCACUACUGUUGUGUUGGCAGGUACGCCUUUUCUUAACUUGCCUUCGCAGAUGACGACCGUACGUGGCAGAAUCUGUACUUUUUUCUUGAGUAGAACAAGCUGAAUAUGUUUAUCCUCUUGUUCUGCUAACGCUGUCUUUAAUGUGACUACUGAUCUUCCCACUGAUAAAAUGCCUUUUUGACAAUCGAUCCUCAUACCGACUGUC